GACGAACGCUGGCGGCGUGCUUAACACAUGUAAGUCGAACGGAAAGGCCCAGCUUGCUGGGUGCUCGAGUGGCGAACGGGUGAGUAACACGUGGGUGAUCUGCCUCUAACUUCGGGAUAAGCUUGGGAAACUGGGUCUAAUACCGGAUAGGACAAUCGUUUAGUGUCGGUUGUGGAAAGCUUUUUCGGUUAGGGAUGAGCCCGCGGCCUAUCAGCUUGUUGGUGGGGUAAUGGCCUACCAAGGCGUCGACGGGUAGCCGGCCUGAGAGGGUGGACGGCCACAUUGGGACUGAGAUACGGCCCAGACUCCUACGGGAGGCAGCAGUGGGGAAUAUUGCACAAUGGGCGCAAGCCUGAUGCAGCGACGCCGCGUGGGGGAUGACGGCCUUCGGGUUGUAAACCUCUUUCGACAGGGACGAAGCUUUGGUGACGGUACCUGAAGAAUAAGCACCGGCUAACUACGUGCCAGCCGCCGCUGUAA
rnacentral:rRNA from 1 species